CAACAAUACCGGUAGUAAAAGCGACUCCAUCACAAGGUGCUCUCAAGGGAGGUGGUCAUGGAAAGUUGGCCCUCAGUCACUCUGAUGAGCCAGCGCUAGUCAACUACUGCCUUAUAAUGAGUGACUGGGGGUUUCCACUAACCAAAGACUUGGUGUGCAAAUUUGCCGUGGCUGUUGGUCAAAAUAGGAAUGUGCACUUUUCAGCGUAGAACGGCUGGUGGAAUCGUUUCAUGAAUCGACAUCCAAAGUUAUCCCCAAGAAAACCGGGACAGAUAAAUAGAGGGCGAGCGGUAAUGUCAGAGAAAACAGUUGCGGGUGGUUUUUCAUUUUGCUCAAAGAUACGCGGGUAAAGCAUAAUCUUGAAGGAAAACCGGGUUGCAUCUAUAACUGUGAUGAAACAUAUUUUCAGUCUCAGGCAAGCACAAAAAUUGUAGCUGCGAAAGGAAAGACCUUUCCUUACGAGAGGUCGAUCACUUCC